CAUCAAUGCCUUAGCUACUUAUUUCAUGUAGGAUCAUAUUGCUCACUUCAACUGUUGAGUCAUAACACUAUGUGGAAGAGAUGUACCCUCCAGUGAACUGGAAAAAUGG